ACAGCCAGGGCCUGGAAUGGAGAUGGGGAUGGGUUCUAACUUCCUGUAACAGGAUGAUGAUAGCCCCUAAUUUCCUGUGACAGCAUGGAAAGAGGUUCUAACUUCCUGUGACCGGAUGGAAAGAGGUUCUAACUUCCUAUGACAUUCUUUGACUUCCUGUGACAGGAUGGUGAUAGUUCCUAACUUCCUGUGACAGGAUGGAAAGAGGUUCUAACUUCCUGUGACCGGAUGGAAAGAGGUUCUAACUUCCUGUGACCGGAUGGAAAGAGGUUCUAACUUCCUGUGACCGGAUGGAAAGAGGUUCUAACUUCCUAUGACAUUCUUUGACUUCCUGUGACAGGAUGGUGAUAGUUCCUAACUUCCUGUCACAGGAUGGAAAGAGGUUCUAACUUCCUGUGACAGGAUGGAAAGAGGUUCUAACUUCCUGUGACCGGAUGGAAAGAGGUUCUAACUUCCUGUGACCGGAUGGAAAGAGGUUCUAACUUCCUGUGACCGGAUGGAAAGAGGUUCUAACUUCCUGUGACCGGAUGGAAAGAGGUUCUAACUUCCUGUGACCGGAUGGAAAGAGGUUCUAACUUCCCGUGACCAGAUGGAAAGAGGUUCUAACUUCCUGUGACAGGAUGGAAAGAGGUUCUAACUUCCUGUGACCGGAUGGAAAGAGGUUCUAACUUCCUAUGACAUUCUCUGACUUCCUGUGACAGGAUGGUGAUAGUUCCUAACUUGCUGUGUCAGGAUGG